CACAAUUAUUUUUCAAUGAACACUUUUAAUUAUUUUAAUCUUUUCUCACAUUUCUCUUUCCUAAAUUUAAUGUGAAUAUCACUUUUAUUGGAAAAGACUGAUGUUACAUGUUCUCUGUUUUUUGUUUUUCUGCAAAUUUUCUCUGAAAUAUCUCUGGUUGAAGAGGAGAAGGACAGAAACUGUUUUGGAAGCCACAAGGCAAAAUUGACUCAGAUUCUUAUGCUUAAAAAGAUGUGUGAAACUUUCCAUUAUAUGGCUUCGUUUCUGUGCUUGUGAAGGGAUAACAAGGUAUUGAUUUGUGUAGCAGUACAGUAACACUUCACGUCUGAAUACAAGGAGCAACCACUUCUUAAUUGUGCAGGUGUGNNNNNNNNNNNNNNNNNNNNNNNNNGAAAGGUUAACAAGGUAUUGAUUUGUGUAGCAGUAUAGUAACACUUCACGUCUGAUUACAAGGAGCAACCACUUAUUAAUUGUGCAGGUGUGAACUUCAUGAUGUUGCCUUACUUUCUCCUUACACAAAGAUUUAGACAAUGGCUGGACUCCAUAAUUCCUUCCAUCUCACUUCCAUAAAUGUGUACAUGACAUGUCUUUGUACAGAUCACCUGUUCUGUUAGAUAUUAAUUAUUUUCUUAUUUUUGAGGAGUGAUUAUUAAAUUUGGUUUUAGUUCUCAGAGAUAUAAAAAAUACCACUUAGAAAAUGUGUACAUAGGGUGCUGUAAUCAGAAAAUAUCUUUGUGCCAUUGGCUUGUAAUAAGGGAAUUUCAAUUUUUUAUUUAUUGUCAUUUCAUCUACCUUAAUAUUCUCAAAAGGCUUUCAUGUUUGUGCUCUUUUUAGAUUUUAAUUUUUGUUGUCUUAAUCAAAAAACAUGCGAGGGUUGGGAACACUUGUUCAAGAUGUGUGACAUGAGCAGUCAACAGAGCAAAAACACUGAUAUUGUAUGGGAAUAUGUAAUAACAGAUGGGCAUUUGCUCUGCUACGUGUGGCAGCAAUCAGGAUCUGUGGGCUUCAGUGCUGUAAGCAGAAUUGACAGAUCCUGCUUUAAGGAAAAAGGUGCCCCUCAUCUGUUGUAUUCAACCUGGCAGCAUUUUGUUACCAAACCCAGUUACUCCAUCAUUACUGUACCACCGCCUAUAUGGAUGUAGUUGUCAGUGUGAAGCUGAGUAAGGAACAACGUGCAUCAGACUCAGAGAAAAAUGGACAAGCGAGCUGGCCUUUGUAUCACUAAAGGGAAGGUCAGAUUGGUGAAUAUGUAAUGUCUGUAGUAGUCUUGUUGGGGACAUCCACAGCAUGUCAAUGAAUCAAAGACUUAAGUAGGAUCUCAAAGAAAUAAUAAUGUCUCUAUCUAAACACUUAUACACAUAAUAGACUUAUUUACACUUACUGAAAAAGUUCGUCUAGAGUUUUAAAUUUACGUUUUAUUCAUAUAGAAAUGAAAGCAACAUUGAAAUUAAUCCAUAAAUUAACUCACACAUAUAUUGAUAUUCUCAUUAUGUUUGUUUUGAAUUAGGUUUUGACACUUUUUCAAAGUGAUUAUUGAUACAGUUGGAUGAAUAUCCACCAUGUUUGUUACCUCUUCUCAUUUUUGCUCUGCCCCUUUCCAUUUUUGUCUUCCAUUCAUUUUCCUUUUUUUGUGGUUUUUAUUCAGCAUUUCAUAUAAUUCAAUAUUCUUUCUUGGCAUCUCAGACUUUUUUAUACUUCAUUGGUUACUCAAGGUAAGAAAAGCUUUUAAUUUUCAUAUUCUUAAUUGAUCUUACAUAUAACAGCUUAUUUAAAAUAAUUAUAUUCAAUAGCAGACAGGUGUCUUUCUAAAAAAUAGUAGCAAGGCUGGGCGCGUUGGUUCAGGCAUGUAAUCACAGCAGUUUGGGAGGCCCAGGUGGGUGAAUCACCUGAGGUCGGGAGUUCGAGACCAGCCUUGCCAACAUGGUGAAACCCCAUGUCUACUAAAAAAAAUACGAAAUUUAGCUGGGUGUUGUGACACACAUCUGUAAUCCCAGCUACUCAGGAGGCUGAGGCAGGAAAAUCACUUGAAUGCGGGAGGCAGAGGUUGCAGUGAGCUGAGAAUGCACCACUGCACCCCAGCCUGGGUGACAGAGCAAGACUCUGUUUCAAAAAAAUAAAAGCAAUUUCUUUAAUUAUAUUUUUGUAAGUAUAGGAUAUAUGCACACCUAGAAGUAAAAUGAAAGACAGGAAAAGAGGGACAAAAGGAAAAACACAGGAAAAAGAAAUAGAACUAUUAUAAGAUGGUUACACUACUUCUGAAGCAGUAUGAUUUUAUAUGAAAGGAGCUUAGAUUAGUUGUAAAUAUAAAUUGCAACCUCUAGGGCAGGAUACUGGAACGGGAGCCUCAAUUUUUCAAUGUCUGUGGCCAGAGGCUGCAUUCAGUUAUUUCCUAUGUUGGCUUCUCUCCCAUGGCAGAAUGUGUCAUCAAAGCCACCAUGGAGAGAAGCCUGCAGCAAGACAGGAAUCAUAAUCUUAGGUAACAUGAUUAUUCAAGUGACGUCCUAUCACGUUGUAGUCUUCUGAUGUAUCAAAGCAAGUCUCAGUUUCUCCGCAAAGUCAAAAGGAAAGGAUUAGAAUAUUGGGUUAUGUACACCAAGCUGUGAGGAUCAUUGCGCACCAUCUCAGCGCUCACCUGCCAACAUCAGGUCUUUCUUAAUCUGGAACAGGUUCUCAGUCCUCACUUACUUUGCUGACCUUGGCCUUUGUGAGAAAACAGGUCACAUAAUUUGUAAAAUGUAUCACAAUCUGGAUUUCUCUGAAUGUUUCUCAUGAUUUUACUGAGCCAUAUAGUUAAAGACAUGUAAUUAUCUAUUUGUGAAGACAAGAAACAGCAAACAGGACAUUAUUUACAAAUACAGAUUUAGAGACCAAAACUAAGAAAGAAAAGUUUGCAAGUGGAAAAAGGAAAAUUAAAAAUAAUAGUGCUGUUCACCAGGGUAACAAAAAGGGUAGGAAUA
rnacentral:lncRNA from 1 species